AUGACAGAUUUGAAGAUCUGGUUAAUGAGGAAUAGCUGGGAUGCAAACUCCUCUCCUGAAUACUGCGCUUGUAAUUCUCAGGCAAGUCCUUUUGCCACAUAUAUACACAUAUUCAUAAAACGUAUAUACUAUUGUAUUGUAUGUAUUAACGAUUUUAUCAAAGGUAAAAUAACAUUCACGUUAUUGAAUAAUUUGCUUUUUUGGCUUAAUAUUAUAGUUUAUUUUUCCAAAGUCCAUGUUGAUAAAUUUAGUUCUAAAUCAUUAAUUGUAACUACUGUGUAGUAUUCCUAAUUAGAAAUUUGUUUACUUAAUCACAUUUCAUGGACAUUUAGGUACUUUUCAAAGUUUAUUUGUAACAUUCUUGUACCCAUCUCCUUUCACAUAAAUGCAACAGUUUCUCGAAGAUUUAGAAAUAUUAAACCAAAGCCUAUAGACAUUUUCAGUUUCACUAGAUAUUGUCCCAUUGCUUUGUAAGUAGUAGGACCAAUUUACUCAUUCACUGAAAAUCUGAGUUUACUUCCCCACAUUCUCACCAACUCUUGUUAUUUUUAUAACUUUAAGAUUUUACCAGUCACUAGAAUGCCAUCUCAAUAUUUUAUUUUGCAUUUUCUAUUUGUUAGUAAGCUUAAACAUUUAUUGUGAUAGCUAUUGGCCAUGUAUGUGUUAUUUCAUGGGAAUUACAUGUUUAUGUCUUUUGCUAAAUUGUUUAUUUGGCUGCUUGCUUUUUCUUAUUGAAUUGUAGAUGUUCUUCAUAAAUUACUGCCACUAAUGAUGAUAUGUCCUUUCCUGAACUGCAGACUGUGCUUCUUACCUUUUUAUAAAGCAUUUUCACUGAAGAUAAGUAGGAUUUUUUUUAUAUUUUAUUAUACUCAAAUGUACCAAUUUAAUCUUUUUAUCUUAUAAAUAUAUUUUUGGACUACAUUAUUAUAAAGUUAGACCUCCUAAGAUCUGACAGAAAAAAAGUUAGAAGAUAGCUAGCUAGAUAUGUCUGUGUAAAUACAUAUGCAAUUGGGUUCCAGUCUUGCUAAUCUAUUAUUAGGAUUUUUACUUUCAUAUUCAGUAUAUGAGAUUGGCUUUUAAUUUUUUCUUAUCCUCUGCUUAAGAGAUUUAUUUUGUACUAGCUUCAUAGAAAUAAUUGUUGUACCUUCUCCAUUUCAUUAUCUUAAGAAGUUUGUGUAGGCUAGAAAUGAUCUAUAGCCUGAUGAUUUUAUAAAAGUUACCUCUAACAUCAAGGGAUGUUGAAUUUUGUCAAAGGCCUUCUCUGUAUCUAUUGAGAUAAUCAUGUGGUUUUUGUCUUUGGUUCUGUUUAUGUGAUCAAUUAUAUUUAUAGGUUUGCAGAUGUUGAACCAGCCUUGCAUCCAUGGGAUGAAGCCAACUUGAUCGUGAUGGAUAAGUUUCUUCAUGUGCUAUUGGAUUCAGUUUGUCAGUAUUUUAUUGAAGAUUUUUGCAUCAAUAUUCAUCAUGGAAAUUGGCCUGAAAUUUUCUUUUUUAGUUGUGUUUCUGCCAGGUUUUGGUAUCAGGAUAAUGUUGGUCUCAUAAAAUGAGUUAGGGAGGAUUCCCUCUUUUUGUAUGUUUGGAAUGGUUUCAGAAGGAAUGGUACCAGCUCCUCUUUGUACCUCUGGUAGAAAUCAGCUGUGAACCCAUUUGGUCCUGGACUUUUUUUGGUUGGUAGGCUAUUAAUUGCUGCCUCAACUUCAGACCUUGCUAUAGGUCAGUUCAGGAAUUCAACUUCUUCAUGGUUUAGUCUUGGGAGGGUGUAAGUGUCUAGGAAUUUAUCUAUUUCUUCUAGAUUUACUGGAUUAUCUGCAUAGAGGUAUUUGUAGUAAUCUCUGAUGGUAAUUUAUAUUUAUGUGGGAUCAGUGGUGAAAUCCUCUAUCAUUCUUUAUUGCAUCUACUUGAAUCUUCUUUCUUUUCUUUUUUAUUAUUCUGGUUAGUGGUCUAUCUAUUUUGUUGGUCUUUAAAAAAAACAGCUCCUGGAUUUAUUGCUUUUUUGAAGGGUUUUUUAUGUCUCUAUCUCCUUCAAUUUUGCUUUGAUCUUAGUUAUUUCUUGCCUUCUGCUAGCUUUUGAAUUUGUUUGAUCUUGCUCCUCUAGUUCUUUUAAUUGUAACAUUAGGGUGUUGACGUUAUAUCUUUCCUUGCUUCUCUGGUGGGCAUUUAGUGCUAUAAAUUUCCCUCCAGACACUGUGAUGAAUCAUAUCUCAAAAUGAUACAAGCUAUUUAUGACAAACCCACAGCCAAUAUAAUACUGAAUGGGCAAAAACUGGAAGCAUUCCCUUUGAAAACUGGCAGAAGACAAGGAUGCCUUCUCUCACCACUCCUAUUCAACAUAAUAUUGGAAGUUCUGGCUAGGGCCAUCAGGCAAGAGAAAGAAAUAAAGGGUAUUCGAAUAGGAAAAGAGGAGGUCA
rnacentral:lncRNA from 13 species